rnacentral:lncRNA from 1 species
CUUGCUUUCUAGGAUGCAACUCUGAAAUUUGCUUCUCGAUGCAAUUGACAGUCUACUGCCUAUUCUGAGCCUGAAAAAUGUAUAGGAAGAAGGGGUGAGAUUAUAAAAUCCCAGUGAGUAGACAGACAUCAUCAAAACAAUCUAAAGCCGAGUAAUAGGAGACAAUUAAAAUAAUUCAUCCCAACCUAUAUAAAUAAUUGGAUUUCAUCCAAUUACUCAACAUGGCUUAUGCAUUUUUCAAAAACUUGGCCCUUGCCAAAAAUUCAUUCUCGGGGAUACCCUGCGAAGGCAUCUUACUGAGACCGCCAAGGCUGUUUAUUGUCACACACACAAACACAUUUCACCUUUGACAACACAGCUGUUCCUCGGUGUUGGCUGAGUCCCAGUUUCACGUGGUGGCCAGCGUGAAGGGUACUCAAAUCCUACCUCGGGAGUUAUCCUAUGCGCCUCUCCAAUCGAGGUAAGCUCAAUAAUUGGGAACCGUGCCCCUCUAAUUAGGUUGGCCCACGAAACCCCCGUCAUUGCAGUGCCCACUUUAUAAUCCACCAACCAAUAAAAUCACAAUAGUAUGACAUAGCUCACUUAACACAUUCAAGGCAAAUCAAAGCAGUUCACAUAUUCUUUAAAUCAUAAAAAUAACUAGUCAUACCCACAUUUAUCAUAAGCCAUUUAAUGUAAAAUCAUGGAUAAACAACACAAUCAUAGUAUAGGUCUCCAAUUACUCUAUUUUUGAAAUCAUUAUUAAAUUUUCAAAAAUUUUAUAAAAUUAUUUUAUAAAAUCUCAUUUUCCCAUAAAACACAAUAAUUUUCCAAUUAAACCAUUUUUCCAUAAAAUCACACGAUUAAAUAAAUCUACUCUAGAUAAUUAAGAUGAUAGUAAGUUUACUCACUAUACUAGGAGUAGAUAUACUCCUAUUUUCGAUCCUCGGGUGUAGUUUUUUACCCGUAUCAGAUAGCUCAUCACCUAUCCACAAUACAUGACACAAAAAAUUCAAUAAUUUGUGUCAAAUCAAUAAAUAUUAUUUCAGGCUCUUAUCCAUGCGUAUGCAUUAGAUAGGGUGUGAAAUGUUUGGACAAUCGCUUAAUCACAGUGUCAGACCUAACUCACCUAUUCACGGUGUAAAUUUUCUAAAAUCUCCAAUUCAACUCCAAUUCCAUCCAUUUCAUAUUCAAUUAUCCAAUUAUAUCCACAAUACCUCAAUGACUGUGAAUGUGGUCCAAUUUAUCAGUUCGGACCAUAAAUUACGCUUUUACCCCUAGUGGGUAAAAAUUUCAAUUCUUUUUUUGCACCAAAAAUUCCCAUUUAAUUUCCAACUUCAUAAUUCAUCAUUUUUCCAUCUAAUUCUCUUAAAAUAAAGUCAACCUCAUCCUCACACACCAUUGGCUAGAUUUGGCCUAGAGAAAUUCAUGGAGAAAAUGAAUAAUUUUCUUGUUGUUUUACUCAUAAACAUGCUAAGCUAACACUAAACACUAACACAGUUCAAAAUCAAAUUAAUCUAACAACUUUCUCUCUCUAAACCCAUAUCAUCAGAUUUGAAUCCAUCAUCAAAACACAUAAUUUAACCAUGGAAAAGAAGGAGAAAUGCAUGGAAAUGAUAAAUCUUAAGCUAAGCUUGAAAAAUCAUACCUUUAAACACUUGAUUCCUUGAAAAAUCACACUUUUUCUUUGAAUUUUCUCACUCUAGGGGUUGUUCUUAUUUCUCUCUCUCUCCUGCUGGUUUUGGC